UGGGGAAUAUUGGACAAUGGGCGCAAGCCUGAUCCAGCCAUGCCGCGUGAGUGAUGAAGGCCCUAGGGUUGUAAAGCUCUUUUGUGCGGGAAGAUAAUGACGGUACCGCAAGAAUAAGCCCCGGCUAACUUCGUGCCAGCAGCCGCGGUAAUACGAAGGGGGCUAGCGUUGCUCGGAAUCACUGGGCGUAAAGGGUGCGUAGGCGGAUCUUUAAGUCAGGGGUGAAAUCCUGGAGCUCAACUCCAGAACUGCCUUUGAUACUGAGGAUCUCGAGUUCGGGAGAGGUGAGUGGAACUGCGAGUGUAGAGGUGAAAUUCGUAGAUAUCGGGAGGAACACCAGUGGCGAAGGCGGAGACCUGGGCCAAUACUGACGCUGAGGUGCGAAAGCGUGGGGAGCAAAC
rnacentral:rRNA from 1 species